rnacentral:rRNA from 1 species
GAUGAACGCUGGCGGCGUGCCUAAUACAUGCAAGUCGAGCGAACAGAUGAGGAGCUUGCUCCUCUGACGUUAGCGGCGGACGGGUGAGUAACACGUGGAUAACCUACCUAUAAGACUGGGAUAACUUCGGGAAACCGGAGCUAAUACCGGAUAAUAUAUUGAACCGCAUGGUUCAAUAGUGAAAGACGGUUUUGCUGUCACUUAUAGAUGGAUCCGCGCCGCAUUAGAUAGUUGGUAAGGUAACGGCUUACCAAGGCAACGAUGCGUAGCCGACCUGAGAGAGUGAUCGGCGACACUGGAACUGAGACACGGUCCAGACUCCUACGGGAGGCAGCAGUAGGGAAUCUUCCGCAAUGGGCGAAAGCCUGACGGAGCAACGCCGCGCGAGUGAUGAGGGUCUUCGGAGCGUAAAACUCUGUUAUUAGGGAAGAACAAAUGUGUAAGUAACUAUGCACGUCUUGACGGUACCUAAUCAGAAAGCCACGGCUAACUACGUG